rnacentral:rRNA from 1 species
UACGUAGGGUGCAAGCGUUAAUCGGAAUUACUGGGCGUAAAGCGUGCGCAGGCGGUGAUGUAAGACAGUUGUGAAAUCCCCGGGCUCAACCUGGGAACUGCAUCUGUGACUGCAUUGCUGGAGUGCGGCAGAGGGGGAUGGAAUUCCGCGUGUAGCAGUGAAAUGCGUAGAUAUGCGGAGGAACACCGAUGGCGAAGGCAAUCCCCUGGGCCUGCACUGACGCUGAUGCGCGAAAGCCAGGGGAGCGAACGGG